CUGCAUCCAAGUAGCUAGCUGACCAGGUUCCUUUCCUCGUGGUGGCCCAGUGUGCAAUGGCUGUAAACAGCAGCCUCCUUCAUGUAGUGUAUGUAAACUGUUGAUUAUACAGGUUGUCCUAACGGACCUUGGGGACAGUU
ensembl:snoRNA SNORA70 Small nucleolar RNA SNORA70